GUCCACACCGUAAACGAUGAUUACUAGGUGUUGGAGGAUUGACCCCUUCAGUGCCGCAGUUAACACAAUAAGUAAUUCACCUGGGGAGUACGACCGCAAGGUUGAAACUCAAAGGAAUUGACGGGGCCCGCACAAGCAGUGGAGUAUGUGGUUUAAUUCGAAGCAACGCGAAGAACCUUACCAAGUCUUGACAUCCCUUGACGAUGCUGGAAACAGCAUUUCUCUUCGGAGCAAGGAGACAGGUGGUGCAUGGUUGUCGU
rnacentral:rRNA from 1 species